rnacentral:rRNA from 1 species
CGUGCUUACCUGCAGUCGAACGAUGAUCUCCCGCUUGCGGGGGUGAUUAGUGGCGAACGGGUGAGUAAUACGUGAGUAACCUGCCCUUGACUCUGGGAUAAGCCUGGGAAACCGGGUCUAAUACUGGAUACGACCUUUCGCCGCAUGGUGGGGGGUGGAAAGGGUUUGACUGGUUUUGGAUGGGCUCACGGCCUAUCAGCUUGUUGGUGGGGUAAUGGCUCACCAAGGCGACGACGGGUAGCCGGCCUGAGAGGGUGACCGGCCACACUGGGACUGAGACACGGCCCAGACUCCUACGGGAGGCAGCAGUGGGGAAUAUUGCACAAUGGGCGGAAGCCUGAUGCAGCGACGCCGCGUGAGGGAUGACGGCCUUCGGGUUGUAAACCUCUUUCAGCAGGGAAGAAGCCACAAGUGACGGUACCUGCAGAAGAAGCGCCGGCUAACUACGUGCCAGCAGCCGCGGUAAUACGUAGGGCGCAAGCGUUGUCCGGAAUUAUUGGGCGUAAAGAGCUCGUAGGCGGUUUGUCGCGUCUGCUGUGAAAGCCCGGGGCUCAACCCCGGGUCUGCAGUGGGUACGGGCAGACUAGAGUGCAGUAGGGGAGACUGGAAUUCCUGGUGUAGCGGUGAAAUGCGCAGAUAUCAGGAGGAACACCGAUGGCGAAGGCAGGUCUCUGGGCUGUUACUGACGCUGAGGAGCGAAAGCAUGGGGAGCGAACAGGAUUAGAUACCCUGGUAGUCCAUGCCGUAAACGUUGGGCACUAGGUGUGGGGGACAUUCCACGUUCUCCGCGCCGUAGCUAACGCAUUAAGUGCCCCGCCUGGGGAGUACGGCCGCAAGGCUAAAACUCAAAGGAAUUGACGGGGGCCCGCACAAGCGGCGGAGCAUGCGGAUUAAUUCGAUGCAACGCCAAGAACCUUACCAAGGCUUGACAUUCACCGGAUCCCCCCAUAGAUGGGGUUUCCCUUUCGGGUCGGUGGAACGG